UACAGAGGGUGCAAGCGUUGCUCGGAAUUAUUGGGCGUAAAGGGUAGGUAGGUGGUCUCAUUUGUCUGGGGUGAAAGCCUUGAGCUUAACUCAAGAAGUGCCCUGGAAACGGUGAGACUAGAGUUCUGGAGAGGGUCGUGGAAUUCCCGGUGUAGCGGUGAAAUGCGUAGAGAUCGGGAGGAACACCAGAGGCGAAAGGCGGCGGACCUGGACAGAUACUGACACUCAACUACGAAAGCGUGGGGAGCAAACAGG
rnacentral:rRNA from 1 species